rnacentral:rRNA from 1 species
GACGAACGCUGGCGGCGUGCUUAACACAUGCAAGUCGAACGGAAAGGCCCUGCUUUUGUGGGGUGCUCGAGUGGCGAACGGGUGAGUAACACGUGAGUAACCUGCCCUUGACUUUGGGAUAACUUCAGGAAACUGGGGCUAAUACCGGAUAGGAGCUCCUGCUGCAUGGUGGGGGUUGGAAAGUUUCGGCGGUUGGGGAUGGACUCGCAGCUUAUCAGCUUGUUGGUGGGGUAGUGGCUUACCAAGGCUUUGACGGGUAGCCGGCCUGAGAGGGUGACCGGCCACAUUGGGACUGAGAUACGGACCAGACUCCUACGGGAGGCAACAGUGGGGAGUAUUGCACAAUGGGCGGAAGCCUGAUGCAGCAACGCCGCGUGCGGGAUGACGGCCUUCGGGUUGUAAACCGCUUUCGCCUGUAACGAAGCGUGAGUGACGGUAAUGGGUAAAGAAGCACCGGCUAACUACGUG